UUUUUGAAUUAGGUUUUUUAUUAGACGAACAUGGGUUUAAUAUAUAACGUGUACACGGCCUAUGAUGCAACAUGCUCCCUCUCCCACUGAGUUACAAAACACGGAUGCCAUGAAGGUGGACAACAACUCUGCGUUUGUGACCUCACGGGAUGUGACAGAGGACCAGGAAUAGAAGCUUUGCACAUAGGUGGGUCUAAGCAGGACAGGAUGAAGCACAUUAGGAAGAGGUAAAGAAUAGGAAGAAGAGAGUAAGCCGGAUCUGCCCUGGCUGAAGGACUGCUCUCAAAAAGCUGUUCUCCAUUUCCCCUCUCAAAUUCCUUAGGGAGCAAGAGGAUGGUGGCUAGGCCAUGAUGCAGCUGGAGUCCCAUGGAGAGCAGCAUUGUGUGGUUGCACACACGCACUGCCAGCCAAGGGCCCCUGUGAGCACCCUCCUCCUCCCGCUGCUUGUGCCAGGAUCUAGUGAAGUCAGUGGGCAAGCCACUGAAGACUAAUGGGAUUUGGCACUUUCCUGGUGAUGACCCGCUCUUGCACUCCUGUGAAGUGCCACAAGGUACUGCCUACAUCUCAGGGUCCUACUUCUGAAUCAUGGUAUUCCCAGAAUUGGACUCCCCAAGUAAACGGCCUGAUGGGGAGACAGGGCAGGGAAGAGAUCCAAGAAAUCCAUUGAAAGCUUGGUAGCUCCACUUCAUUUCAGUGAUAGCACUUGGGCUGCUCAACCCUCGAAUCAGAUAGUUAUUUUAAAGCGUAAACAUGAAUUUAGGGGCUUUACUCCACGUCCACUUCCCUUGGAAGGUUUGAUUCAAGACAGUCAACAAAAAGGAAAAGGAAAGAAAAAUACAAAAAGCCACACUAACAUAAAUCCAGAGUCCAGCAGACUCAUCAAAAACUGUUUCAGCCUUACAAAGCAUGUGUCUUUUGACUCAGGCCUCAAAAUCAAUGCACUGUAUUAUUAAAAAAUAGCAAUAUAGAAACUACCCCUUUCUUAGUUCAAAGUUUAAGCACAUGUAAGAAGACCCUACAGAAACAGUCCUCUUUCCGGCAAGGCACUAUCCAGUAGUGUGUGGCACAAACAAAAACACCGCUGUCAAAGCCACUGAUACAGUGAACGUGUGCGUGCACGUCAGCCCACACAGCAACUUCAGCUAGGUACAAAGGUUUACAGAUUAAUUCACACUACUCUCCCUUUUAAAAACACAGGGUAGAUACAAGUAUUAGCUAAAAACAGGGAUCAUUUGGUUCUCAUAUGCAUAUGCAAGUAUUUUAAACAGAAUAAAGAAUUUGUUAUUCCUUUCAAUAAAUGGCUCUAUUUUCCACAGACCUUGUCAGUUACUUGAUAGCUACAUUUCAUUAUUACAAAACUGGUUUAAAAAAUCCCACAUCAUCUUGUGUAACAAACUAGAACUCUACUUGCUUUAAUUACAAAAAUAAGGCUGUCACGCAACAGACCAAAUUCACAUUCAAGCAACGUAUAUAUAUUU
rnacentral:lncRNA from 1 species